GCCUAGCUGGUUCAGUUGGUGGAGCAUGAGACUCUUGAUCCCGGGGUCGUGAGUUUGACUCCAUGUUGGGCA
rnacentral:tRNA from 1 species